rnacentral:lncRNA from 1 species
GUUUAUGAAAAGCAGUUUUCUCAUUAAAUCUUAACCAUUUCUAUCGUUUCAUAUUGCCUCAGUAAGAAUAAAAAGCAGUUUGCCCUAUAUACCCCAUUUAGAAUAACUGAGAUUUCGUUAAUUUAAAUUCAAAACGAAACUAGUUAUCCUGUGUAAGGAUGCUAACACAAAAGUCGCCAAAACGGACCCCAAAUCAUUGUUCUAACAAUCGACCCAGAAUUAAGUCUUUUAAUUUUAAGAAAAAUCUAUCGUCAAACAUGUCAAACGUAUCGAGACCCUAGUUACCUUAAACAUAUAAAUAAAAAAGAAGAUAUGGAUGAGACAACUCUUCACCAAAAUGAAACAGCAAUUAACAACUAUAGGUCACCGUACGGCCUUCAAAAUUAACAAUGAGCAAAGCCCAUACCGCAUAGUCAGCUAUUAAAGGCCCCGAAAUGACAAUGUAAAACAAAUCAAACGAGAAAACUAACUGUCUUAUUUAUGUACAAAAAAUGAACGAAAAACAAAUAUGUAACACGUAAACAGACGACAACCACCGACUUGGGACAGGCACAUACAUACAUAAUGUGGCGCCGCGGGGUUAUUUAGCGGGAUCCCAACCCUCCCCUUUAAGCAUAAGUUGAUAUUAUUGUCAAUGAGAUAGUUAUCUUUAAUUGACCAAAUGACGAGUAUGUGUACAGUUGCAAUUACAUAUGACCGUCAACACGAGCAAACCUCACGCAUACCGUAUACAGUGAAGCAACUAACUAAGCAAUAAAAGACCCAGACAUGAUUUACGUAAAAUAUUUCAAACAACAAAAUCAAUGGCUUCGCUACUGAUUAAACAUCAAACGAAAACCUAAGUGCCAUUUUGAUACAAGACAAAAGAACAAAGCACUAGUAUAAAGAGAUAACGGUACUUACAGGUCGAAAUCAUAAAUCGUAGAAAAACGGGCAAAAAAUGGUCCCAAAACACUACUGGCCAAUAAAACGAAAGAUUACUCAUCUCGAACUGA